rnacentral:ncRNA from 1 species
CGACGACAAAGGCAAACUCGUCGCGAGGCGGGUGCGCAAAACCGCAGAUCUCAGCGUUUUGGGGAAUGUUGAGACGGCUGGGUUACCGAA